AGGCCAGGUGAUCGCGGCUGAGCAGACGAAAGGGUUCAGACGAGGAAAGUCCGGGCUUCGCAGGGCAGGAUGCCGGAUAACGUCCGGUGGAGGUGACUCCCAGACCAGUGCAACAGAAAUAAACCGCCUCACAUGUUGAGGUAAGGGUGGAAAGGCAGUGUAAGAGACUACCGCCGUCCUGGUAACAGGGCGGGCACAUGUAAACUCCAUUUGAAGCAAGACCGAACAGAAAGCGAUACGGCUGCCCGUCGUGCUUUCAGGUGGGUCGCUUGAGCCUUAUGGCAACGUAAGGCCUAGAUAGAUGAUCACCCAAUGACAUAACCCGGCUUAUCGGUCUGAU
rnacentral:RNase_P_RNA from 1 species